rnacentral:rRNA from 1 species
AUUGAACGCUGGCGGAAUGCUUUACACAUGCAAGUCGAACGGCAGCACGGGUGCUUGCACCUGGUGGCGAGUGGCGAACGGGUGAGUAAUAUAUCGGAACGUAUCCAAUAAUGGGGGAUAACUAGCCGUAAGGUUAGCUAAUACCGCAUACGCCCUGAGGGGGAAAGCUGGGGAUCGUAAGACCUAGCGUUGAUGGAGCGGCCGAUAUCUGAUUAGCUGGUUGGUGGGGUAAGAGCCUACCAAGGCGACGAUCAGUAGCUGGUCUGAGAGGACGACCAGCCACACUGGAACUGAGACACGGUCCAGACUCCUACGGGAGGCAGCAGUGGGGAAUUUUGGACAAUGGGGGCAACCCUGAUCCAGCCAUUCCGCGUGAGUGAAGAAGGCCUUCGGGUUGUAAAGCUCUUUCGCAAAGGAAGAAAACUCGAUCUCUAAUAUAGGUUGAGGCUGACGGUACCUUGAUAAGAAGCACCGGCUAACUACGUGCCAGCCGCCGCGGUAA